GAUGAACGCUGGCGGCGUGCCUAAUACAUGCAAGUCGAGCGAAGCGGGGACGGGUGCGUAAUGUCUGGGAAACUCCUGUUGGAGGGGGAUAACUUCGGGAAACCGGAGCUAAACCGGAUAUUUAUAGAUGGAUCCGGGUGGCAUUAGCGAGUUGGUGAGGUAACGGCUUACCAAGGCAACGAUGCAUAGCCGACCUGAGAGGGUGAUCGGCCACACUGGAACUGAGACACGGUCCAGACUCCUACGGGAGGCAGCAGUAGGGAAACUUCCGCAAUGGACGAAAGCCUGACGGAGCAACGCCGCGUGAGUGAAGAAGGUCUUCGGAUCGUAAAACUCUGUUAUUAGAGAAGCGGUACCUAAUCAGAAAGCCACGGCUAACUACGUGCCAGCAGCCGCGGUAAUUC
rnacentral:rRNA from 1 species